rnacentral:misc_RNA from 1 species
AACGCACAUUGCGCUUCCUGGUAUUCCGGGGAGCAUGCUCGUUUCAGAAUCAAUUUGUUCUCACAAACUAUAUGGGUUGCAAAACCCCUAUUGGGCGUGGAUUUGGGCAUUUUUGCUCUGGUGCCUUUGUGCAACAUUGCAAUUGCCUUAAAAUGAUUGCGUGUAUGCCCCAAUUGGUAGUAAUUGGUUUACCCUCAAUGCAACAGUCAAAUGAAACAUUUUGGAGGACCUUUUGUGAACAUUGGAUUUGGAAUACACUUCCAUUCUAUACAGCAACCAUCUCUAGUAUUGAGAUUGUUUCUGAACCUUGGUCUGAAAUCGAGCAAGAAAACCCGCUGAACUUAA